rnacentral:rRNA from 1 species
CCUACGGGUGGCUGCAGUGGGGAAUAUUGGACAAUGGGGGGAACCCUGAUCCAGCCAUGCCGCGUGUGUGAAGAAGGCCCUCGGGUUGUAAAGCACUUUCAGUGAGGAAGAACGCCUGGUGGUUAAUACCCAUCAGGAAAGACAUCACUCACAGAAGAAGCACCGGCUAACUCCGUGCCAGCAGCCGCGGUAAUACGGAGGGUGCGAGCGUUAAUCGGAAUUACUGGGCGUAAAGCGCGCGUAGGUGGCUUGAUAAGCCGGUUGUGAAAGCCCCGGGCUCAACCUGGGAACGGCAUCCGGAACUGUCAAGCUAGAGUGCAGGAGAGGAAGGUAGAAUUCCCGGUGUAGCGGUGAAAUGCGUAGAGAUCGGGAGGAAUACCAGUGGCGAAGGCGGCCUUCUGGACUGACACUGACACUGAGGUGCGAAAGCGUGGGUAGCAAACAGGAUAAGAUACCCUGGUAGUC